UAUCACCAAGGAUUGUUUUUCCCACCCUAUUUCCGGUGGGAGACGGAACGGAUUCAGGCCGACACCACCCGUCGGCUUUGAGACACAAUAAAGAUAAAAAAAG
rfam:Vibrio sp. MEBiC08052 genomic scaffold scaffold00001, whole genome shotgun sequence.